GACGAACGCUGGCGGCGUGCUUAACACAUGCAAGUCGAACGAUGAACCGCGAGCUUGCUCUUGGGGAUUAGUGGCGAACGGGUGAGUAACACGUGAGUAACCUGCCCUGGACUCUGGGAUAACUCCGGGAAACCGGGGCUAAUACCGGAUACUUUCAACUGACGGCAUCGCCGGUUGAAGAAAGUUUUUCGGUGGAAGAUGACCUCGCGGCCUAUCAGCUUGUUGGUGAGGUAAAGGCGCACCGAGGCGACGACGGGUAGCCGGCCUAAGAGGGCGACCGGCCACACUGGGACUGAGACACGGCCCAGACUCCUACGGGAGGCAGCAGUGGGGAAUAUUGGGCAAUGGAGGAAACUCUGACCCAGCGACGCCGCGUGAGGGAUGAAGGCCUUCGGGUUGUAAACCUCUUUCAGCAGGGAAUAAGCGAAAGUGAAGGUACCUGCAGAAGAAGCACCGGCUAACUAUGUGCCAGCAGCCGCCGCGGUAA
rnacentral:rRNA from 1 species